rnacentral:rRNA from 1 species
AUUGAACGCUGGCGGCAUGCCUUACACAUGCAAGUCGAACGGUAACAGGUCUUCGGAUGCUGACGAGUGGCGAACGGGUGAGUAAUACAUCGGAACGUGCCCGAGAGUGGGGGAUAACGAGGCGAAAGCUUUGCUAAUACCGCAUACGAUCUCAGGAUGAAAGCAGGGGACCGCAAGGCCUUGCGCUCACGGAGCGGCCGAUAGCAGAUUAGGUAGUUGGUGGGAUAAAAGCUUACCAAGCCGACGAUCUGUAGCUGGUCUGAGAGAACGACCAGCCACACUGGGACUGAGACACUGCCCAGACUCCUACGGGAGGCAGCAGUGGGGAAUUUUGGACAAUGGGCGCAAGCCUGAUCCAGCCAUGCCGCGUGCAGGAUGAAGGCCUUCGGGUUGUAAACUGCUUUUGUACGGAACGAAAAGACUCCUUCUAAUAAAGGGGGUCCAUGACGGUACCGUAAGAAUGAGCACCGGCGAACUACGUGCCAGCCGCCGCAGUAAGAC